CCAGUGCUUAAUACCUGUUACUAGUACCAUCUCCUUAAUUUUCUCCCAGCAUGUUCACCAUCUCACUGAAGUUGCCCAGUUGCUCUGUAGGCCUGCCUGGAAAGAUCCCUGGGGAGGAAGGUGAUGGCAGCAGAAGUCACCUGGCUUCCUCUGUUUGACAGUGACAGUGAAAGGCUUUCCUCCAGGUAUCCCAAGGACAAUGUUGUUUUCAAGACUUGUGUGGGGACU